AACGCGUGGGAAUCUACCCAUCCCUACGGAACAACUCCGGGAAACUGGAGCUAAUACCGUAUACGCCCUUCGGGGGAAAGAUUUAUCGGGGAUGGAUGAGCCCGCGUUGGAUUAGCUAGUUGGUGGGGUAAAGGCCUACCAAGGCGACGAUCCAUAGCUGGUCUGAGAGGAUGAUCAGCCACAUUGGGACUGAGACACGGCCCAAACUCCUACGGGAGGCAGCAGUGGGGAAUAUUGGACAAUGGGCGCAAGCCUGAUCCAGCCAUGCCGCGUGAGUGAUGAAGGUCUUAGGAUUGUAAAGCUCUUUCACCGGAGAAGAUAAUGACGGUAUCCGGAGAAGAAGCCCCGGCUAACUUCGUGCCAGCAGCCGCGGUAAUACGAAGGGGGCUAGCGUUGUUCGGAAUUACUGGGCGUAAAGCGCACGUAGGCGGAUAUUUAAGUCAGGGGUGAAAUCCCAGAGCUCAACUCUGGAACUGCCUUUGAUACUGGGUAUCUUGAGUAUGGAAGAGGUAAGUGGAAUUGCGAGUGUAGAGGUGAAAUUCGUAGAUAUUCGCAGGAACACCAGUGGCGAAGGCGGCUUACUGGUCCAUUACUGACGCUGAGGUGCGAAA
rnacentral:rRNA from 1 species